UUUUUCCGUCUCGCCCGACCCUGUCUGUUUCGUCGACCCUUUUCCGCCUCGCCCGAGGACUCGACUGUAUCUUUUUCCUUGACCCAAGGGUAUAUGUGUAAAAAAAUCGGGGACUUCUCUGCGUUAAGUCUGAGGACCCCUAGCACAGCUAUUCCUCUAGUCUAAGGGUGAGAUCAUGAGUUCCUUCCAACCCGACCCUUGGUCUUGUUCUUUAUCCACUGAAGCUUGAACCUCCACACCUUUU
rnacentral:lncRNA from 1 species